rnacentral:rRNA from 1 species
AUUGAACGCUGGCGGCAGGCUUAACACAUGCAAGUCGGGCGAGCGGCGGACGGGUGAGUAAUAUAUGGGAACGUACCGGGUGGAGGGGGAUAACUAAUGGAAAGGUUAGCUAAUACCGCAUAUUAUUCGAGCGGCCCAUAUCUGAUUAGCUAGUGGGUGGGGUAAAGGCCUACCAAGGCGACGAUCCAUAGCUGGUCUGAGAGGAUGCGCAGCCACACUGGAACUGAGACACGGCCCAGACUCCUACGGGAGGCAGCAGUUGGGAAUUUUGGACAAUGGGCGCAAGCCUGAUGCAGCCAUGCCGCGUGUCUGAAGAAGGCCUUCGGGUUGUAAAGGACUUUUGUCAGGGAGGCGGUACCCGAAGAAGAAGCACCGGCUAACUCCGUGCCAGUAGCCGCGGUAAUUC